rnacentral:rRNA from 1 species
GUGUCAGCAGCCGCGGUAAGACAGAGGGCGCGAGCGUUGUUCGGAAUUACUGGGCGUAAAGCGCGUGCAGGCGGAUCUGUUUGUCCGUAAGUGAAAUCCCGCCGCUCAACGGCGGGGCUGCUUGGGAAACGGCAGGUCUAGGGACCGGUAGAGGUCGGUAGAAUUCCCGGUGUAGCGGUGGAAUGCGUAGAGAUCGGGAAGAAUACCCGUGGCGAAGGCGGCCGACUGGGCCGGGUCCGACGCUAAUACGCGAAAGCGUGGGGAGCAAACAGGAUUAGAAACCCCGGUAGUCC